rnacentral:rRNA from 1 species
CCUACGGGAGGCAGCAGUGGGGAAUAUUGGACAAUGGGGGCAACCCUGAUCCAGCAAUGCCGCGUGUGUGAAGAAGGCCUGAGGGUUGUAAAGCACUUUCAGUGGGGAGGAGGAUUGAUAGGUUAAGAGCUAAUUAAUUGGACGUUACCUACAGAAGAAGCACCGGCUAACUCCGUGCCAGCAGCCGCGGUAAUACGGAGGGUGCGAGCGUUAAUCGGAAUUACUGGGCGUAAAGGGUGCGUAGGUUGUCGAGCAGGUGGUCUGUGAAAUCCCUGGGCUUAACCUGGGCAGGUCAGAUCAAACUGUUGGACUCGAGUAUAGGAGAGGGUAGUGGAAUUUCCGGUGUAGCGGUGAAAUGCGUAGAGAUCGGAAGGAACACCAGUGGCGAAGGCGGCUGCCUGGCCUAAUACUGACACUGAGGCACGAAAGCGUGGGGAGCAAACAGGAUUAGAUACCCUGGUAGUCCACGCCGUAAACGAUGUCAACUAGCUGUUGUCACAUAGAGUAGGUAGUAGUAGAGAGACGACGACGAGUAAGUUAGACCGCCGUGGGAGGUAACGGUAGUCGCGAAGUAAGUUAAACGUUAACGUAAAGUUAGUUAGUUAGACGGACGNGAGACGCGACGACGGACGACGACGGAGGGAGGAGG